GGAACUCACUCUGAAGACCAGGCUGGCCUGGAACUCAGAAAUCUGCCUGUCUCUGCCUCCCAAGUGCUGGGAUUAAAGGCGUGCACCACCACUGCCCGGCCGGAAUUCUUUUUUGAAACGUGUGACUGUUACCUGCGAGAGACGGAAACUGCUGUUCCUGUUACAAUUAUGGAAGAGAGAAGUCAAACAGUGCUGGAGGGUGUGGAGUGAAUCCCAAGGCACACUCAUUUCCCAGUUGAAGAGUUUAUGUUUGUUUUGCAAAACAAAACAAAACAAAUUCCAGGGGGGAGAGGAUGAAGCUAUACCUCUGUUGACAAAGCACUGGCUAUGCCUCCAAGGACUUGAGUUUGCAACUCCAGUAUCCACAGCGGAGCGCCGUGGCAUAUCUAUAAAUGCAGAACUUCAAAGGACAAGAAGGUGAAACCCCUGGAGUUCAAUGAGAGAUCUUGUCCAAAAAAUAAGACACCCUACUGAUCCUCCAAAGCAUACCUUAUAGAGACAGGAAAUUUGAAGGAGAACAUUCUGAAGGCCUAAGAAGAGUGGAGAAUAACGUUGCAUGGGACCUGCAGCAGCAUUCGUGCCAUGUUACUCCCCGUCCAUGUAUGAAGAGUUAACCCCACAGUUAGACACCACCAGAGGAACAAUGGAAAAUACUGUUGCCCAAACAACAGCAAAAGUUCAAGAACUAUGUGGAACACAGGAUUCUCAUCACCACAUUAACAGGCUGCAGGGGGGAAAACGUCACCUCACUUUCACCUGUUAGCACUACCACAAAAUGGAAGCUGCAUUUAUAAAGAAAAAAAAUGUGUGUGUGUGUGUGUGUGUAUGUGUGUGUGUGUGUAUGUGUGUUAUCAAAAAUAAGCCAGAGAACGUGAGAACAUCUGAGUCAAAGUCACAAUGAUGAUUAUGAAAUGACUCCCAGCACACACAGGCCACGCCUUGCACGGAGUGGUCUGUAUAACUUACUGGUUUUAAUCCUUCCAGCAACCCAAUAGGGUAAAUGCCAUUAUCCCCAUUUUGCAGAUGAUGUACCUGAAGACAUGGGGAACAUCGCCAAGUUUGUGGGUUGUUAAUUGGAGCCAGCAGCCAGCCCUCUGAUUUAUGUUUAUCUGAUUGCAAACCCAUGCUGUUGAUUAUAGGGUUGUCUGCCCAAACACAAGUUUUCCCGUACCUGCCAGCCAUUCCCCUCCAUAAAUACAGGUUGUUUUCAUUACAGGAGGUGAUUUUGUUAUGGUUUCCUUUGGUGUGACCAGGUCAGCUGGGCUGACAUGGGCAGAGGCCUCUUUUUGAUGAAGGUGGUAGGCAAGUGUGCUGGCUGGCUGGGACUUAAAAGCUCAAGAGUUAUAAACAAAUGAAUAUAGUGAUUGCAAGGACAAAUAAUAAAAAUGGAGCCCCUGAAUGUAUUGGGAGAGAAAUCUGGGCGCCCUGCAGUCAAGAUAUAAUUGCUAAAAAGAGGAAAUCAGAGGUUGGAAGGGAUAGAAAAGCCCAACCCAGAACCCUGAAGUCAAGGCAAAAGCAGAGAGGAGAAGAGGCUGCUCUUAGAUAAUUAAAACUGGGCUCUUCCAAAAUAUGAAGUUAGACACCUGACAAAUUAUAUAUUUCUAAUUUCUAAUACCGGACUGCCAUAGGAUACAUAGCCUCCCAGGCAUUAAUGAAAAGGCUGCAACCAGGGGCCCUAAAAAUCACUGAUGUGUGCCAAAGCUAGCAAAGCAGGCCCAGAAAACCCAGAGGGGUGGGGAGAAGGCCAAGCAAAUAUCUUUGCUCGCCUGAUUUUUAAACUGUUUUCAAACUCACGCUACUUCCCUACACUGCCAUGUCUGUGUGCCUGUGCAUGUCAGUAUGUCCACAUGUCUG